rnacentral:rRNA from 1 species
AUUGAACGCUGGCGGCAGGCCUAACACAUGCAAGUCGAACGAGUGGCGGACGGGUGAGUAAUGUCUGGGAACCUGCCCGAUGGAGGGGGAUAACUACUGGAAACGGUAGCUAAUACCGCAUACCAUCGGAUGUGCCCAGAUGGGAUUAGCUAGUAGGUUGGGUAACGGCUCACCUAGGAGACGAUCCCUAGCUGGUCUGAGAGGAUGACCAGACACACGGGAACUGAGACACGGUCCAGACUACUACGGGAGGCAGGAGUGGUGAAUAUUGAACAAUGGGCGCAAGCCUGAUGCAGCCAUGCCGCGGGUAUGAAGAAGGCCUUCGGGUUGUAAAGUACUUUCAGCGAGGAGGCGUUACUCGCAGAAGAAGCACCGGCUAACUCCGUGCCAGCAGCCGCGGUAAUAC